rnacentral:rRNA from 1 species
CGCGCAGGCGGGUUUGUCAGUCAGGGGUGAAAUCCUACAGCUUAACUGUAGAACUGCCUUUGAUACUGCAAACCUUGAGCUCGGAAGAGAGAGGCGGGAUUCCAGGUGUAGUGGUGAAAUUCGUAGAUAUUGGGAGGAACACCGGUGGCGAAGGCGACUCUCUGGACCAAUACUGACGCUGAGACGCGAAAGCGUGGGGAGCAAACA